rnacentral:rRNA from 1 species
AUCACAUGGUUCAAAAGGGAAAGGAGCAAUCCGCUGAUAGAUGGGCUUGCGUCUGAUUAGAUAGUUGGUGAGGUAACGGCCCACCAAGUCGACGAUCAGUAGCCGGACUGAGAGGUUGAACGGCCACAUUGGGACUGAGAUACGGCCCAGACUCCUACGGGAGGCAGCAGUCGGGAAUAUUGCGCAAUGGAGGAAACUCUGACGCAGUGACGCCGCGUGCAGGAAGAAGGUUUUCGGAUUGUAAACUGCUUUAGACAGGGAAGAAACAAGACAGUACCUGUAGAAUAAGCUCCGGCUAACUACGUGCCAGCAGCCGCGGUAAUACGUAGGGAGCAAGCGUUAUCCGGAUUUAUUGGGUGUAAAGGGUGCGUAGACGGGAAAUUAAGUUAGUUGUGAAAUCCCUCGGCUUAACUGAGGAACUGCAACUAAAACUGAUUUUCUUGAGUGCUGGAGAGGAAAGUGGAAUUCCUAGUGUAGCGGUGAAAUGCGUAGAUAUUAGGAGGAACACCAGUGGCGAAGGCGACUUUCUGGACAGUAACUGACGUUGAGGCACGAAAGUGUGGGGAGCAAACAGGAUUAGAUACCCUGGUAGUCCACACCGUA